AGUGCUGUGGCUUAGUUGGUUAAAGCGCCGGUUUAAAGAAUACGAAGUCGUCGGUUCAAAUCCCACCAGAACAC
rfam:Aedes albopictus isolate Foshan contig111473, whole genome shotgun sequence.